UCUAGAUUCAUUUCAUAAGCUUUUCAUAAGACUUUUUUUUGAUAUUAUGAAUCUGUUCGUUUUAUAUUUUCAUCAGGAAUUUUAUGUUAAAGUUUUACACAAUUUUCCAAUCUUUACUUACGCGUGAAAUGGAUAGAUGCCGUUGUGCAGAGUACGCAGCUGCCGUGGAGAAACUGCGGUGUUAUACUGUUGGCACAUUCCGACCUGAUAUUAUAGAUAACUAUGACCGAUCGGAAUUCAUAACAACAUGGGUGAAACACGGCGUUGACUAUGAAGAUAUGAAGUUUUUAAAACCUAGGGCGGUAAGGCGGCUGACUCCCGAAGAACUGCAAGAAAUGCAAUUGAAACUUGAGAAAAACAAGAUUGAGCGAAUGUGGUGUUCGUAUAUGACACCAGUGAUUAGGAAAUAAAUCUGAGAUGUACACCUUACUUGAUUUUACGAAACAUGACAAAUAAAAAUUUACAAACUUUCCUAUAGA